CGAGCGGCGGACGGCUGAGUAACACGUUGGAUACCUGCCCCAGACUCAGGGAUAACAUCUAGAAAUAGGUGCUACUACCGGAUAGUCCCGCAAGGGUAAAGCUUUUGCGGUCUGGGAGGGUCCUGCGGCCUAUCAGCUUGUUGGUGAGGUAGUGGCUCACCAAGGCUAUGACGGGUAGCUGGUCUGAGAGGAUGAUCAGCCACAAUGGGACUGAGACACGGCCCAUACUCCUACGGGAGGCAGCCGUAAGGAAUCUUCCGCAAUGGACGAAAGUCUGACGGAGCCAAUACCGCGUGAGGGAAGAAGGUCGCACGAUUGUAAACUCCUUUUCUGAGGGAAGAUUAUGACGGUACCUUAGGAAUAGCACCGCUAACUCCGUGCCAGCAGCCGCGGUAAUACGGAGGAUGCAAGCGUUACCCGGAAUUAUUGGGCAUAAAGCGUCCGCAGGUGGUUUAUUAAGUCGAAUGUUAAAUCUUGGAGCCCAACUCUGAGGCCGUAUUCGAAACUGGUAAACUAGAGUUUCUCAGAGGCAAGUGGAAUUCUGUGUGUAGGGGUAAAAUUCGUAGAUAUACAGGGGAAUACCAAAAGCGAAGGCAGCUUGCUGGGAAAAUACUGACACUCAUGGACGAAAGCGUGGGUAGCGAACGGGAUUAGAUACCCCGGUAGUCCACGCCGUAAACGAUGGAUACUAGGUGUUGGGAGGCUCGGUCCUCUCAGUGCCGUAGCUAACGCAUUAAGUAUCCCGCCUGGGGAGUACGAUCGCAAGAUUAAAACUCAAAGGAAUAGACGGGGACCCACACAAGCGGUGGAGCAUCUGGCUUAAUUCGAUAAUGAGCGAGGAACCUUACCUAGACUUGACAUCCUGGGAAUUCUUUAGAAAUAAAGAAGUGCCUUCUGGAACCCAGUGACAGGUGCUGCAUGGUUGUCGUCAGCUCGUGCCUUGAGGUGUACGGUUAAGUCCGCUAACGAGCGCAACCCAUGUCUUAUGUUGUAUUUCUCAUAAGAGACUGCCGAUUCAAAGUCGGAGGAAGGUAUGGAUGACGUCAAAUCAGCAUGGCCCUUAUGUCUAGGGCUGCACAGGUGCUACAAUGGGUGGUACAAUGGGUAGCAAUGCCGUAAGGUGGAGCCAAUCCUGAAAACCACUCUAAGUUCGAAUUGAGGGCUGCAAUUUGCCCUCAUGAAGUUGGAAUCGCUAGUAACCGCGUAUCAGCAAUGUCGCGGUGAAUAUGUUCCUGGGUCUUGUACUCACCGCCCGUCACACUAUGAAAGGAGGAAGCGCC
rnacentral:rRNA from 1 species